rnacentral:rRNA from 1 species
GAGUUUGAUCCUGGCUCAGAUUGAACGCUGGCGGCAUGCCUUACACAUGCAAGUCGAACGGUAACAGGUCUUCGGAUGCUGACGAGUGGCGAACGGGUGAGUAAUACAUCGGAACGUGUCCCGAUCGUGGGGGAUAACGAAGCGAAAAGCUUUGCUAAUACCGCAUAAGAUCUACGGAUGAAAGCAGGGGACCGCAAGGCCUUGCGCGAACGGAGCGGCCGAUGGCAGAUUAGGUAGUUGGUGGGAUAAAAGCUUACCAAGCCGACGAUCUGUAGCUGGUCUGAGAGGACGACCAGCCACACUGGGACUGAGACACGGCCCAGACUCCUACGGGAGGCAGCAGUGGGGAAUUUUGGACAAUGGGCG